rnacentral:rRNA from 1 species
CAGCCGUAAACUAUGCUCGCUAGGUGUCAGGCAUGGCGCGACCGUGUCUGGUGCCGCAGGGAAGCCGAGAAGCGAGCCACCUGGGAAGUACGGCCGCAAGGCUGAAACUUAAGGAUUGGCGGGGGAGCACAACAACGGGUGGAGCCUGCGGUUUAAUUGGACUCAACGCCGGACAACUCACCGGGAACGACAGCAAUAUGUAGGCCAGGCUGAAGACCUUGCCUGAAUCGCUGAGAGGUGGUGCAUGGCGUAGACGUCU